UUCUAGAUCUGUCCACAUAUACUAUCCUUCCAGAGCACUUUGUACAAAGUAUUUAUUUCUUGGGUGAAAAUAUCAAGACUCAUCUCAUCAAAUUUUCAAGGACAUGAAACUAGGUGAGGUCAGGAAUAUUCUAAGUCACGAAAAUAAACAUUUUCAUUACCCUGAUAUUGAGAAUAGCAAAAGUCUCAACAUAGGUUGUUGGAUAGACAAAGGAGGCAUUUACUAACAAGUAAAUGACAGCAGGUUGGUUUCAAAUGAAAGUGAGGGAGAAAUGGAAAAUGACCGUAAUGGAAAAGAGCCUGAGAUUACAGUAGACCACAAGCUGAUGAUGAACAGGCAACUCGGGAAGAGUUAACUGUAAAAGGAAAGCUCUGUGUGGGCUUUCUGGGCCAGGCAAACGUAGUGGCUUGCAGGUAUUGGUGACUGGCAUCCAGGAUGGAGAUGAGAUCCUUCCUCAAUGGCGUGCACCAUUUUACAAUAUGCAGAGCAGCUCGGCCUUGCUUCUGGCCCACAGUGGCUCACCUGUCCACAACAUGUUCACUGCCAAAGAGUCUUGCUUCUUAAAACAUUCACAUUUUAAAAAAUUAACUCAAAAAGCAGGGAAUUACACUUAAUACAUGAUCAAGGUAAUUUACACGUUAUACCCAUGACUUAGAAAAUUUUCAGUAUUUGUUUCACCUAUUUUUAGUUUUAAUACAUAUUAAAUUACAUAUAAUUGCCAACAUUUUUUAAAAAUUUAGGUAUAUAACAGAGUACGUUUGUGUUGAAAAUCAGAAAGUCCAAUUUUGGUUCACAUUUUUAAGAAGAAUGUACAGAAAUGGAAAAAAGAGAGAAAUGGAAGAAAUUAUUAAACUCAUGGAAAACAAGUCCAAUAAGAAGGAGCUUUUGCACCUUGACAAAAAUGUCUGAGUGAGUCUGUCAUUGUUAGGUUAAAGAAGGGUUUUGUGCAAGGUACGUGCUGUCCCAC
rnacentral:lncRNA from 1 species